GAUGAAGAACGUAGCGAAAUGCGAUAAGUAGUGUGAAUUGCAGAAUUCAGUGAAUCAUCGAAUCUUUGAACGCACAUUGCGCCCCUUGGUAUUCCAUGGGGCAUGCCUGUUCGAGCGUCAUUUACACCCUCAAGCUCUGCUUGGUGUUGGGCGUCUGUCCCGCUGCUUUGCGCGGACUCGCCUCAAAGGUAUUGGCAGCGAUCAUGCCAGCUUCUCGCGCAGCACAUUGCGCUUCUUGAAGUUCUGGUGGAUCAGUGUCCAUUAAGCUUACCUUCAUGACUUGACCUCGGAUCAGGUAGGGAUACCCGCUGAACUUAAGCAUAUCAAUAAGCGGAGGA
rnacentral:misc_RNA from 1 species